AUGUGCUAUAAAUCCAUACUGGUAAUGAGAUCCAUCCCAGAAAUCCUAAAGAGGACCCAUGAAAACACCUCUCUUGGCAUCUCCCGGCACCUUGUAGAAGAGAGCAGUUCCACCAGUACUAGCGGUUCCUCUUCAGACAAUGAGAACUCAUCCUUCGCCAAGAGGAGGCACUUUGGCUCUUCCCCAGAAUUGCACUUGUCUGUGUUUGAAGUACCAAGUUAUAAAGAACCUCCCACGAAGGCACCUCAAGAGAAACAAGCCAAGGCCUUAGCAACUCCAGUAAAACCCAUGAGACGGAAAUACGCCUUAAUGAAGAAUGAAGUGGAUGACAGGUCGCCUACGGAAAGCAGAGAAGUAAUACCAGAUGCCUCAGCUCAGAAAGGAGAAGAGAUUUGUCCUGAAGUCAAAGAUGAACAAGCAGACCAGUCUCAAGAGAAAGCUGCAGAAAAGCCUUUGCUGGUGAAGGCAGAAGCCGUCAUCGAGGGAGCUGGCUUAGCCUCACAAAAAGAAAAGAUGGAUGUGACACUACCUGAAAAAGACCAACUUGACAAAGGUGGUGACGGAGGAGGAAAACCCCCUUUGUGCGUCCCAAGACAGAGCAUAAUUAAAAGCACCUUCUACAGCCAAGCGUCUGAGCUACCAGCCAAGGGGUCUAUCUCACCGGGGAGCGACCUCAGAAAGCAUCUGGAGAGAGCAAGACGGACCUACAGGAAAGCAGGGUAUUCAAAAGUACCUCUCAGUGGCCUUCGUGAGCCCCUCCUAGAACACUUUGAACUGGAAGAAGAAGAGAGGCUAUCAGGCGAUGAAGACUAUGGGAAGCACAGAGAAGGUCUGACCAAAUCAGCUUCAUUCGAUACUGCAAGGAAACCACCCCACCCCACCUUCAGUGUUUCCAGAAGAAGCCGUUCCCUGGAUGAUUACAGAUUGAGAGCUUUCAGGCUAUCCAAGGAAGACAGCAUUAAGGAAGAAGAGGGAGAUCAGGCUGCGCAGGAGGGUGGUCCAAGACCAGCUCAUGAGCAGGACGCUUCUGCCGACAGCAGUGAGGUGCAUGCAGAAGAGCUUUCCAGGGAGGAGGACUCUAGGAAGGCUAGAAAGGAUUGCUUAGAAGAGUCUGGUCCUUCUGCACCAUGUGAAGAGGUCCGACGUUCAACUCUACCUGCUCAACCAUCAGAGAGGGUUUUAGUCUCAGCUCAUGAGGGUGAAACAGAGGAGCACCCGAAGCCACAACCUUCUGCU
rnacentral:lncRNA from 1 species